CUUGAGUUUUCAUCUCAGUCAUUGCAACUUUGUGAAAAAAAUGUCAAGAAGGCCAAAUACCUCUCGCCGUCUUGCAGAUGCUGGGAGCAUUCCGUUUAUCGGCGCCUUUCACCCGAAAUCACGUCCAUCUCCUUUAUUGUCUAUAGGACUUGUGGUUGUGGGAGCAUUGUUGAUUAUUGGUUAUUUGUAUCACGGUUCAGGUGGAGCUGUUGAUGCUUUCAGUAGACUUGAAGGUGGUUUUUCAUGCACAUCAGAACUUCAAAGAGCAUUACCUAUAUUACAGAAAGUCUAUGGUGACAGCAUGCGAAAAGUAUUGCAUGUAGGGCCUGACGCUUGUUCAGUGGUGUCUACACUGUUAAAAGAGGAGGGUACUGAAGCAUGGGGUGUUGAACCCUACGAGUUAGAUGAAACUGAUGAAACUUGCAAGAGUCUUGUUUACAAGGGAAUAGUGCGAGUAGCUGAUAUCAAGUUUCCUCUUCCCUAUCGUUCAAACUCAUUCUCUCUUGUCAUAGUGUCGGAUGCAGUGGAUUACUUGUCUCCAAAAUAUCUCAACAAGACUUCCAGAAUUGGCGAGGGUGGCAGCUGAUGGUUUGAUUGUUUUAUCUGGUUAUCCAGGUCAGCAAAGGGCUAAAGUGGCAGAACUUUCGAAAUUUGGCCGCCCUGCCAAAUUGCGAAGUUCGUCCUGGUGGAUUGGAUUUUUUGCUCAAUCCAGCUUAGAAGAGAAUGAAGUUGCAAUCAAGAAGUUUGAGCAAGUGGCAAGCAAGAGGUUUUAUCAGCCAGCUUGCCAAAUUUUCCACCUCAAACCACUCCAUUGAGAAAUCCUUAGCUUGUUCCAAACAGAUAUAAAAGCAUCUG